GAAUGACUGAUUCAAGCCCAUUUCCAAUUUUUCCAAAUCGAGGCACCAAUCACAACCACUGAGGCGGGCUUUACACGAUGACCAUAGCGCAGCGACAGCGAUCAGCUUUUUGUUUACAUUCAACAUGACAGGCACCGAAGCGCAGCAACCUGUUGAUGCCGCUGUUGCUGCUACGUCACCUGGAUCGUUGGUCUGAUUGGUUGAAGGACUAGCCAAUAGCGCCCAGAGGCAUUUGA